rnacentral:tRNA from 1 species
CAAUUCGAGUUGCCUUGAUGCUGACUCGCUAGCCCAACCAAACCAAAAACAACAAAUCACAAUAACUAAACCCAAAG